rnacentral:rRNA from 1 species
UACGUAGGUGGCAAGCGUUUGUCCGGAAUUAUUGGGCGUAAAGCGUCUGUAGGUGGUUUAAUAAGUCAACUGUUAAAUCUUGAGGCUCAACCUCAAAAUCGCAGUCGAAACUAUUAGGCUAGAGUAUAGUAGGGGUAAAGGGAAUUUCCAGUGGAGCGGUGAAAUGCGUAGAGAUUGGAAAGAACACCGAUGGCGAAGGCACUUUACUGGGCUAUUACUAACACUCAGAGACGAAAGCUAGGGUAGCAAAUGGG